GCGCACCAGGCGCGAAACCUUCGCAAUGCGGGAAACCGCGACGAGGGGACUCCCAGUGCCUACGCUCAGCGUAGGCUGUUCCCGAGCCUAGAAAGCUCGGGGAGUAAGGGCUGGGUAAGACGGGUGCCAGCCGCCGCGGUAAUACCCGCAGCCCGAGUGGUGGCCACUAUUAUUGGGCCUAAAGCGUCCGUAGCCGGCCCGGUAAAUGCCUGGGUAAAUCGUGAGGCCUAACCUCACGAAUUCCGGGUAGACUGCCGGGCUAGGGACCGGAGGAGGGAGAGGGUACUCCUGGGGUAGGGGUGAAAUCCUGUAAUCCCUGGAGGACCACCGGUGGCGAAGGCGCUCUCCUAGGACGGGUCCGACGGUGAGGGACGAAAGCCAGGGGAGCGAACCGGAUUAGAUACCCCUGUAGU
rnacentral:rRNA from 1 species